GAGGUGGUCCUCCUGGCCUCUGGCACUGACAUGUGGCCCCAUGAAACUGCCCUCAGUAUUUGGAUUUGGCAUUUGUUAUUUUCCAUUUUAAGUCAUUGAUAGCAUAAGCUAUCAAAGGUCAGGAUAGCAGGACUCCAAGAAUCCUAGCAUCCUAGCAUCUGAGUUUUGUAGCCAGCUGCACAUUGACGAGCCAAGAAGCAAGGCGUGAUCUAUAAGACUUAGCCCAGUGGUUACUGAGAAGAAUACAUCUCCAGAAAGUCAUAUCACUUUUGGAUGUGAACUUGCUAGAACUAAUACUGUGGAAAAAACUGUGCUGAAUGAACUUACUUUCUCCAGAGGCCAAAAUGAUACCAGAAGAGAUACUGUUGUGAGGAAAUGUUUAUAUAUUUUAUCUUGCUAUAUUUUCUUAGUAAAUAUCCUCUUAGGAAAGCUAAAUGAUGUUAAGUGCUUAAACAGACCUGUCAUGCUCCUUACCAGUGUAACUGUGAGAGGCACACAGUAUUAGGCAGAGUUGAUUGCAUUAGAGAAGAGGAAACUCUAAAUUCCUCAGGAUGCCCAUAGGAUUCUAGGGGAGGAUGCAGCAAAUCUCAUUUAUGGGUUCAAUUUUGCCAGCCCCCCACCCCCAUUCAAGCUCCAUUCCAUGGCUGACAUCUGCUCCAGCCAGAGCCAUUUGCCAGUUCUGCCACUGCAACUACAACCAGAUAACCUACAUCUUCCUGUGGCAGCAAACAAGUAUUUUACCUUCCUGGGAAUGACUAUAGCCAAAGGAUCUCCAGUCCCUCAGAUAAUACAAUAGUUAAAUGACUUGCCCAGGAUUUCCUCGAUAGUCUGUGCCAGAGGAGGGACUUAAGUCAAAUAUUCCUGUCUCCUAGAUUGUCUAUCCACUACACAAUGCUAUCUAUCCCUUCUUACAUAUAUUAUAUUUAAAAAAUAUUUUACAUAUCAGUAAACUUUUUGUCUUAAAAUUGGUUUUUAUUC
rnacentral:lncRNA from 1 species